rnacentral:rRNA from 1 species
UGAGGAAUAUUGGUCAAUGGACGCAAGUCUGAACCAGCCAAGUAGCGUGCAGGAUGACGGCCCUAUGGGUUGUAAACUGCUUUUAUAUGGGGAUAAAGUGGGGAACGUGUUCCCUUUUGCAGGUACCAUAUGAAUAAGGACCGGCUAAUUCCGUGCCAGCAGCCGCGGUAAUACGGAAGGUUCGGGCGUUAUCCGGAUUUAUUGGGUUUAAAGGGAGCGUAGGCCGUUUGGUAAGCGUGUUGUGAAAUGUAAGAGCUCAACUUUUAGAUUGCAGCGCGAACUGGCAGACUUGAGUGCGCACAACGUAGGCGGAAUUCAUGGUGUAGCGGUGAAAUGCUUAGAUAUCAUGACGAACUCCGAUUGCGAAGGCAGCUUACGGGAGCGCAACUGACGCUAAAGCUCGAAGGUGCGGGUAUCGAACAGG